CCUCAACUGCUUUCUCACUGAAAAAUGAGUUGAUAUUUACCAUAAUAAAUACGUGAAAUAAAGAGAGAUAAAUUUUACCAAUAAAAUUAAGGCAUUUAAAUGCAUGAACAUGAUCUAAAUGCCAUAUCAUUAUAAAUUACUUCCUGUGUUCUCAAGCCUAAAGAUUAUUCAAGAUCCUGCUAAGAAAUUAAAGCCACAUGACAUUCUGAAAUAAAAGUGUGCAGAUGCUUGAGUGAAUCAGCCAAUUCCUCAUGUCUUCGUGGCUCCAUCUACUGUCAUGCAGUCAUAGCGCCACAAUUCACAUUUCCCAAGGGCUUUGAAACUAUUUAAUAGAUA